AUUCUUGUGCUAGGGCAAAACCACGAAAGUGAGGUUCAUACUGAUUCUGGUUUAUUGCUGGUUGAAAACGUUAUAUUUUUUUUUUGUAAAUAAAUAAUUUAUUUUUAUUUAUAAA
rnacentral:snRNA from 1 species